rnacentral:tRNA from 1 species
GCGAGAAUGGCGGAACUGGUAGACGCGUACGUUUGAGGGGCGUAUAGGGCAACCUGUGUGAGUUCGAUUCUCAUUUCUCGCACCA